CGGGGUGCACCAGGCGCGAAAACUCUACAAUGCAGGCAACUGCGAUAGGGGGACAUCGAGUGGCAUCCACCUUGGGUGCCUGUCCAACCGUCUAAAAAACGGUUGUUAGCAAGGGCCGGGUAAGACCGGUGCCAGCCGCCGCGGUAAUACCGGCGGCUCGAGUGGUGGCCGAUAUUAUUGAGUCUAAAGGGUCCGUAGCCGGCUUUGCAAGUCCCCUGGGAAAUCCAGCGGCUUAACCGUUGGGCUUUCAUGGGAUACUACAUUGCUUGGGACUGGGAGAGGUAGGAGGUACUCGAGGGGUAGGGGUGAAAUCCUGUAAUCCUUCGGGGACCACCGGUGGCGAAGGCGUCCUACCAGAACAGGUCCGACGGUGAGGGACGAAAGCUAGGGGCACGAACCGGAUUAGAUACCCGGGUAGUCCUAGCCGUAAACGAUGCCCGCUAGGUGUCACGACGGUCGUGAAUCGUCGUGGUGCCGUAGGGAAGCCGCGAAGCGGGCCACUUGGGAAGUACGACCGCAAGGUUGAAACUUAAAGGAAUUGGCGGGGGAGCACAAGGGCGAUUCGCG
rnacentral:rRNA from 1 species